GACGAACGCUGGCGGCGUGCCUAAUACAUGCAAGUUGAGCGCUGAAGGUUGGUACUUGUACCCACUGGAUGAGCAGCGAACGGGUGAGUAACGCGUGGGGAAUCUUCCUUUGAGCGGGGGACAAUAUUUGGAAACGAAUGCUAAUACCGCAUAAAAACUUUAAACACAAGAUUUAAGUUUGAAAGAUGCAAUUGCAUCACUCAAAGAUGAUCCCGCGUUGUAUUAGCUAGUUGGUGAGGUAAAGGCUCACCAAGGCGAUGAUACAUAGCCGGCCUGAGAGGGUGAUCGGCCAAAUUGGGGCUGAGACACGGCCCAAACUCCUACGGGAGGCAGCAGUAGGGAAUCUUCGGCAAAGGACGAAAGUCUGACCGAGCAACGCCGCGGGAGGGAAGAAGGUUGUCGGAUCGGAAAACUCUGUUGGUAGGGAAGAAAGUUGGUGAGAGUGGAAAGCUCAUCAAGUGACGGUAACUACCCAGAAAGGGACGGCUAACUACGUG
rnacentral:rRNA from 1 species